CACCACUUCCUCUUUGUUCUUCCAAUAUUCCCUUAGCCUUGCAUUCUGUUACUUCCAAAUUUCUGACCAUUCACCCCACCUAUCAUCAAUGUUUAAAAUCAGAGUUCUACCUCACCUGUCAUGCAAAGUGGACAAUCAGAUAAAUUACCUCACGUUAUGCCUACUCUUCUCUACACAAAAGUAUUUCAUGGCCAGCCUUGAGUUUCACUCUAAUGUAGUAGCCAUCCACAGCUGGUUGGUGCCAGCAUAUCUUGUAGACCUAUUUGUAAGCCAUGUCUGCGCUUUUUCUUGCUCUCUUA
rnacentral:lncRNA from 1 species